rnacentral:lncRNA from 1 species
UUGUUUUAGACACAUGGCAUUUGUUAUCCCACUAAUUUGCUGCUUUAGAGGCAUGGCAUUUAGUGUCACAUUGUAGGUUUAAAUUGGUUGUAGAAUUUAUAUUGUAACUUGCAUAUUUAUUUAGUUGAGUUUAAUCUAAGUUUAUAUCUGAUGUGUUUGUAUUAUUUUAGAAUUUACUGUUUUAGACACGUGGCAUGUGGUAUCCCACUACACUUGGUAUAAGCUGUCAUACUGUAAGUUUAAAUUGGUUGUAAAAUUUAUAUUGUAACUUGCAUUUCUAUUGGCGUGCAUAUU